UGGCCAUCCACGUUGCCACCACGAAACCUCGUCCGUGGAUUUUACGUGGAUGAGUUCCACGAACCUAUUUUGCCAUUUUUUCUAGUGCACUCAUUUGGAAAUACUUUCCCUUUCGAUAUUUGACCAUUUUUGAGCAGAUUUAGUUUGAAUUUUUCGGUUUUUAGGGUAAAAUUAACGUCCGUGGAACUCACGUGGAUGAUCCCCAAUUUCCCAAAUUGAGUUUUUGAAGCUCUUUUUGUGCCUAAAUUAUCGGUAAAUGAAUUAAAUACUCCUCUAAAGCUGUUUCAUUUAAUUUUUUUUUAAUUUUUUGUAAAUUUUACUUCGUGGAAGGGUCUCCGUGGAUGCUCCGUGGAUGUUCCGCGGACGAUCCACGGAACUCCGUGGAUGCUCCGUGGAACUUACGUGGAUGAUCCCCAAUUUCCCCAACUCGUGUUUUUCAUUACUCUUUUGUGUCUAAAUUAUCAGUAAAUGAAUUUUAAGUGCUCAUCCAAAACUAGUUCAGUUUUUUUUUAAAUUUUGUAAAAUUUCCCAUCGUGGAAAUUUUUUCGUGGAUGCUCCGUGGAACUCACGUGGAUGAUCCCCAAUUUUCUAAAUCGUGUUUUUAAAACACUUUUUGUAUCUAAAAAUUAUCGGUAAAUGAAUUAAGUGCUCCUCCAAAGCUAGUUUAUUUAAUUUUUUUUAUUAUUUUUUAAAAUUUUACUUCGUGGAAAAGUCUUCGUGGAUGCUUCGUGGAUGCUCCGCGAAUGAUCCACGGAACUCUCUUAACGCAAAAAUGAAAAAUAGCAUGUAUUUGAAGCAAAUUGUUCAGUUCAUGAGCUGCCCCUUUUCGCUUUUUUAAAUUCAUUAGUCAUGUCAUUCUUGUUUAAAUUUCUAAAUUUUGGAAAUUGGUUAAGUGUCCGUGGAGUUUUCGUGGAUGAAUACCCGGACACUUGAAAAAUUUUUGGUUCGUUGGUAUUUCCUAUAGGUACGUUAAAUUGUUAGUAUUAUUUAAUAAACCAUCAUCAAAGUUAAUUGCUAGCUCAGAAAACUCAAUAUUUCCAAAUAUAUUCCGAAAUCUACACUCGCCACCUCGCCAGAAUAGCCGCAGACGUGUUUCAAACUUUUGAAAAGCGCGCGCACUCUUACUGGCCGCAGCAAGCCAAUGAGCGCUGCCGCUUGCCUGUUGCUGUUUGUUGACAGACGACCGCGAGCGCGCGGACGCGCGAGCCGAGCGCAACAGAAAAAGCCGUUGGACGACGCCGCCGCGUAAUUAAUGUCAGUUUUCGGCCGCAAUUUCGCCACUAAGGCGACCAGCAUCAAUGUCCUUAAGUCGGUGAUUGCUGUGAAAUCUGAAUCCUGUUCAACCCUCCCAGCAAAGAUGCCGCAAAUCAAAGACCUGUGCCAGCGGCUGACUUUUAGUGAGACAACAAAGCAAUUCGAGCAAGCUGUGUCCUGAAACUUUGCGAUCCCCACGCACUAUGUAUGUAAUUAUUGAAAGGAUGUCUGGUUUGCAGCUUGGGUGCAAGAUCAAAACAAGCUAACAGGCUUGUAUACUCUGGCUGUGGCAGAUCAGGCCGAGGAUGUCAAGGAACUUAAGCUGCAUUUUCCAGUCUUAAGUCUGUUGGUGCUAUUUAUGACUCGGAUGGAAUCGACGUGACUCCGGAGCUCAAGACGAAUAGCUAUAUAAUUAUGUGACAGGACUUGGAAUGGAAUUGCUGGACCACAACUCCGACGAAGAUUGAGUGGUAUUUUUGUUUUUUAGUGAGGCAAUUUUCUAGCUCAAUUGUUGUACUUCAUGUUUAGAACAUUCAUUUUAAGGCUAAUAUCUAUUGCAUACACAUACCUGUGUUCACUGUAAUGUUGGUAUUAAAAUUAAAUUAAAUUCCAAACAUUAUUUUAGUGAAUACAGGUAUGUGUGCAAUAAAUUUAUGUUUAAGCUGGCAUUAAUUCAUUUAAUUUUCUUGCCAGAAACGUUUUGGCAGCUGAAAAUUUUAAAUUAAAUAUUUUUGAUAGCCAUUAUAGGUUUUAAAUUCACCAUUUGUGUAAGCCUUUAGUGCUCGAAGUCGGCGUAGCCGUAUACUUCCAAUUUAAAUUCCUAUUGACUGAGGUCAAGGAUUUAAUCCUGCUGAUGUAUUUUCUGGGGUUUAAAUGAUUUAUUUUGAUUCUGAGAACCAAAAUCAGUUCAGCCAAUCUCCGAAGAAACAUGGAAAUAAUAUUUUUAUUAAAUCUGACGUUUCGAAGGUGAUUGGCUAGACUGACUUUUGCGUUUAGUACAUCAAAUCAAAUCAAUUAACAAGCAGAGCACCAUUUUUCGGGAGCAGUAUUACACUAAGGGGUUUUCAAAGCUUGUGAAUGUUAAAAUUUUUCAGCUUUCUUAAUUAAUUGUCUUCUCUUGUUUCUCAUAACCUUAUGGACACUACUGUAAAUUGAUAAAAUUCUUUGUAUUGAUCUAUUGUUACUGUGCAUGUGUCAUCUUUUUGUAAUCAAAAUUGUAUAAGAAAUAAAUAAAAAUUUUAAAAUUCCAAUGAAUGAAUUUCAUUUGCGAUAUUAUUACCCAGAAAAAUGAAACACGAUCCACGGAAAAUCCCCAGCGAUUCCACGUAGCUGUUCCACGGGGAAUCUUCAUAGAUUAUCCCCGUGGAAUCUUCAUAGAUCAUCCCCGUGGAAUCUUCAUAGAUCAUCCACGUGGAUACCACGUAUUUCGGGCGGACAAUUUCUACGGGGAAUCCACGUGGACCAUCCACGUGGUUUCCACGUGGGAUCCGUGGAUCAUCCACGUAGGAUCCCCGUGGAGUCCACGUGGAAUGGCCACUGGG